rnacentral:rRNA from 1 species
GACGAACGCUGGCGGCGUGCCUAAUACAUGCAAGUGGGACGCAAGGAAACACACUGUGCUUGCACACCGUGUUUCCUUGAGGCGCGUAACGGGUAGGAACCCGUAGGUAACCUGCCUAAUAGCGUGGGGUAACUAUUGCUAACGCUAGCUAAUAGCUCCUGAUAUUUGUUAUUGCAUGAUAAUUUACGGAAGGAUGGAAGCGCAUCACUACUUAUUAGACCUUCGUUGUAUUAGUUAGUUGGUAAGGUAAGAGCUUAUCAAGGCGACGAUACAUAGCCGACCUGAGAGGGUGGUCGGCCACACUGGGACUGAGACACGGCCCAGACUCCUACGGGAGGCAGCAGUAGGGAAUCUUCGGGAAUGGACGAAAGUCUGACCGAGCAACGCCGCGUGAGUGAAGAAGGUUGUCGGAUCGGAAAGCUCGGUUGUAAGUCAAGAACGUGUGUGAGAGUGGAAAGUUCACACAGUGACGGUAGCUGACCAGAAAGGGACGGCUAACUACGUG